rnacentral:rRNA from 1 species
GUAACGGCGAGUGAAGCGGCAACAGCUCAAAUUUGAAAUCUGGCUCUCGGGCCCGAGUUGUAAUUUGUAGAGGAUGCUUUUGGUGAGGUGCCUUCCGAGUUCCCUGGAACGGGACGCCAUAGAGGGUGAGAGCCCCGUCUGGUUGGACACCGAUCCUCUGUAAAGCUCCUUCGACGAGUCGAGUAGUUUGGGAAUGCUGCUCUAAAUGGGAGGUAUAUGUCUUCUAAAGCUAAAUACCGGCCAGAGACCGAUAGCGCACAAGUAGAGUGAUCGAAAGAUGAAAAGAACUUUGAAAAGAGAGUUAAACAGUACGUGAAAUUGUUGAAAGGGAAGCGCUUGUGACCAGACUUGGGCUUGGUUGAUCAUCCGGGGUUCUCCCCGGUGCACUCUUCCGGCCCAGGCCAGCAUCAGUUCGCCCUGGGGGACAAAGGCUUCGGGAAUGUGGCUCUCUCCGGGGAGUGUUAUAGCCCGUUGCGUAAUACCCUGUGGCGGACUGAGGUUCGCGCAUUCGCAAGGAUGCUGGCGUAAUGGUCAUCAGUGACCCGUCUUGAAACACGGACCAAGGAGUCGUCUUCGUAUGCGAGUGUUCGGGUGUCAAACCCCUACGCGAAAUGAAAGUGAACGCAGGUGAGAGCUUCGGCGCAUCAUCGACCGAUCCUGAUGUUAUCGGAUGGAUUUGAGUAAGAGCAUACGGGGCCGGACCCGAAAGAAGGUGAACUAUGCCUGUGUAGGGUGAAGCCAGAGGAAACUCUGGUGGAGGCUCGCAGCGGUUCUGACGUGCAAAUCGAUCGUCAAACAUGGGCAUG